UGCUGUAGAAGACACAUGAUGUACGUUACGUAACGCUAUUAAGGAAUUCUCAUCCCAGACAUCUUCAACUCUGAGGAUGUCACAAAGAUCUGUGUGUGUGUGUGUGUUCCAGCAGCGUAGACCGGCUGGAAACUGUGACGAGGGUGUAAUCAAGUUUGUGGCCACGGUUUCUAGCCUUCAAGACAGAUCGAUCGUUGUUCUCGAACAGCGAAAGUCUUCAAACUAGCGGGUCACCGACCGACGUUAAAACAGAAGUAACACCUGGAUUAUGUCAGAUGCGUUACCGCUGUGCAAACCUAUUCGGUCACACUACAAGAAACAUCAGAACGAUGGAUAGCUCUCAAAAACAGAACUUCACUUUAACGUGUCCUGCGAGGACCGCAUCGAUUUGUUAAUACAACGUUCUAUUUGCUGAUUUAAACUCUUCUUUAGGUGUUUGAUCGUGAAGCAGACAAAUUUUAUGGUUGACGAAAGAUUUGUGUAACAACUGGUAGAUGAAAGGAGUUGAUGCAUGACUGUAAUGUCAGCUGUUUUAAAGUUUCUUUACCUCAAUUGGUUUGUUUACAUAAAGUUUGGAACAUGAAA